CAGCAGCCGCGGUAAUACGUAGGUGGCAAGCGUUGUCCGGAAUUAUUGGGCGUAAAGGGCUCGCAGGCGGUUUCUUAAGUCUGAUGUGAAAGCCCCCGGCUCAACCGGGGAGGGUCAUUGGAAACUGGGAAACUUGAGUGCAGAAGAGGAGAGUGGAAUUCCACGUGUAGCGGUGAAAUGCGUAGAGAUGUGGAGGAACACCAGUGGCGAAGGCGACUCUCUGGUCUGUAACUGACGCUGAAGAGCGAAAGCGUGGGGAGCGAACAGGAUUAGAUACCCCUGUAGUCCCUGUCUCUUAUAA
rnacentral:rRNA from 1 species